GCGCGGCCGACCGGUCCGCUUCACGGCGUGCACUGGUCUCGGCCGUGCUUUCCUCUUGGGCCGCCUGGGGGCGCUUCACCGUGCUCUUGGGAUGGACCAGGACUUUUACUUUGAAAAAAUUAGAGUGUUCAAAGCAGGCAUUUGCUCGGAUACAUUAGCAUGGAAUAAUGGAAUAGGACGUCGGUCCUAUUUUGUUGGUUUCUAGGACCGCCGUA
rnacentral:rRNA from 1 species